GCAAUGCCUGGCUUCAAAGCUUCAAA
rnacentral:piRNA from 1 species